UGGGGAAUAUUGCACAAUGGGCGCAAGCCUGAUGCAGCCAUGCCGCGUGUGUGAAGAAGGCCUUCGGGUUGUAAAGCACUUUCAGCGGGGAGGAAGGCGUUAAGGUUAAUAACCUUGGCGAUUGACGUUACCCGCAGAAGAAGCACCGGCUAACUCCGUGCCAGCAGCCGCGGUAAUACGGAGGGUGCAAGCGUUAAUCGGAAUUACUGGGCGUAAAGCGCACGCAGGCGGUCUGUCAAGUCGGAUGUGAAAUCCCCGGGCUCAACCUGGGAACUGCAUUCGAAACUGGCAGGCUAGAGUCUUGUAGAGGGGGGUAGAAUUCCAGGUGUAGCGGUGAAAUGCGUAGAGAUCUGGAGGAAUACCGGUGGCGAAGGCGGCCCCCUGGACAAAGACUGACGCUCAGGUGCGAAAGCGUGGGGAGCAAACAGGAUUAGAUACCCUGAUAGUCCACGCCGUAAACGAUGUCGAUUUGGAGGUUGUGCCCUUGAGGCGUGGCUUCCGGAGCUAACGCGUUAAAUCGACCGCCUGGGGAGUACGGCCGCAAGGUUA
rnacentral:rRNA from 1 species